AUGAUCCCAGCUGCUGUCAUAAUCUCUGCAGCUCUGCUCUGGCUUGGAGGUCCAACAGACAGCAGUGAUGUCACUCAGACUCCUCUGCUGUGGGCCAACCAGAGUCAGUCUGCCACCAUCAACUGCAGACAAAAUAUAGAUGUUAAUCAUAACCAGAUGUACUGGUACCAGCAGCUGCCGGGUCAGAACAUGAAGCAAAUAGUUUUCACCACAUCGUACAGCCCUGCACAGUAUGAAGAAGGCUUCAGCAAGGAGAAGUUUGAAGUAGAGAACAAAGACGCUUACAGUGGAUCUCUGACAGUGAAGCAGCUGCAGCCUGAAGACAGUGGAGUGUAUUUCUGUUCUGUCAGUAAACACAGUGAUGCAGCCGAUUGAAGAGCUGCACAAAAACCCCAGAGACAGUGAAAGAAAACUUGUUUUAACCUGUAGGUGGAGCUAAAGAGCAGAGUAGACUGUUUAUAUUACCGUGUUUCCCCGAA